CGUUUGUGCUUUCUUKASCUAGARGGGCUGUCUCAGAUCCAGUUGAGKAGACCUCGGCAAAAGGCCUUUUUCAAAUAUCGCAUAUUUUGUGGGAUUCGAUUAUGCUGUUGUAUACAUUGCAUAACCUGCACCUCCGUUUCUAUCUUCAUUUCUGUUCUUGUGAGGGUGAUUAUCGGCAGGUUGUUAUCAAGUGAGGGGUUGAGAGAGGCUACAGCAGCAUCUGAGCUGUACUGUCCCUAUCCACCCUAGCCGAGGAACGCUCAACUACGUUUUCUUAUGAGAACGAAACGUUCAACUACGUUUUUUUUAAUGAGAUCGGAGUUGAGCGUUCGGUCGCUAUCUCUACCCUAGACUAUUUCUGCGUUUUAAAGAUGCACUAUGCAGAAACAGCGCCGCCAUUUCUUGGUUGCUAAAAUUCUAAUAGUUAACCUKAUUUCAGUUAAUCUGACAAAACAAGCAAGUAUAGUGUAGAGAAUCAUUGUACUAUCUAAACCGCUAUGAAAUAUAUUUCRKWUAACCAAKAKUAUUGUAUUUUCAGCUGUUUGAAGCUGGUGUACAAUACCAAAAGUAAAAUAUGCAAAAACGAAACCUACGGAAUGGAAGCAAUAMAAYUAMUGCACAUAGAACAUAUCUACUGUUUCUUAGACUUGCUUUCAAUUAGAGUGAAAGAUCUGUAACUCAUAUUUCUGUGUGAAUUUGGUGGACGACCCACUUACCUACAGUCUACGACAGUAUUAGUCGUAAUACACAUAAAACCUAGCGGUCAAACACAGAAAUGGUUCCAAUCGUGUGUCCAUCAUUCGUUUGAUCCAUUGUGGAUUUUAGAAACGCUUCAAUUAAGGGCUGUGUUUUCAUGUAGGUWUACCCUGCCGGGACGUUUUGAUAACUAUGUAAACCCUCCCCUCCAAAAAUGAAAUGCUAAUUAGCUGCUAAUGCGGCCAUCAUCUAGAACUACAAAUGCCUGUCUCAAGCUUAACAACACUCACCAGGGCCAUGAAGAUCUGGACGAUACUGCCAAGUCGAGGCCAAGAACCAGUGGGUGUGCCUGAGUCUUGCCACCUCUCAACUAGGUAAGCUGUUUCAACCUGGAACACUAUUCUCCUGCUUUGGUCUGUUUAAGACAUUGCAGGAAGACGUUGCAUGGGUUUAUUGAUGUAUAAGGCAUGCUCCACUCAAGUUGAACUUGUUGACUGAUACCAUGGCGGCUGCUAAGAAGGCAGCAGCUGCGAACCAGAAGACUGCAUCCCUGGUCCACACCUGCCCUGUSUGUCGGUUGAGUAGUAUUGAUUCAGACCCGAAGACGUUCAAGCAGCACUUUGAGAGCAAGCAUUCCAAGUCUCCAGUGUUCCCAGUACUGGUUGAUGUGCAGGCCUAAGGAAGCACAUACACUAGCUGUAGGUCCAUUUUGAGUACGCACGAUGACCACAAAUUGAAUGCUGCAACAGACGGAAUGACGUCAAGGGACACACAUGGAGACCCCGAGUAUGACUGGACAUGGGCCUAAAAGGGCUGCAGAAGCACACAAGCACCCCAUUUUAUGGUUAUUCCAUGGUCAACCAGCUCUAGUUAACCAUUACUCCACACUAUACCUUUCUAUGGUCCCUCAACUUUCAACACUUCGAGAGUUUCAAUCUUAUCUCUAUAAACCCACCCUACCUUCACACAUUUUCCCUAUGCUGCUUCRUUCACUUGUUCUUCUCCUGAUUUGAUAACAUCUAGACUCAGUAACAUGUUUAAAAGUGUUGUGGUGUACUGUUUUUGCUACCUUUUUUUCACCUGUGUAWUGUUGUCCUGCUGCUUAUUCUGGGGUUCAGACUGAAUGCAGUGGUAAAUAUUCUGCUCACAAUUGACAGRAGCAACAUGGACCUGUUAAAUUGACAAGAAGGGUGUUGAUAUAGCUGCGUUUAGGCAUGGCUUCCUUGUUGAGUAUAAGUGUGUUACUCAUUCUCCUGGAGUUAGCUAGGUUUUAUAUAAAAUACUUUUUCAAUUUGUAACUUGCCUACCAAAAUCACAAUAUURUGUUUUACACUGUUAUUUGUACUGGUCUAAUUCCUAAAAUGGAAAAGCAGAAUCUGUGCGCUCUCAGAUAAUAAUAAUAAUAUAGUUCAUAUGGUGUUCUUCGACGUUCCAGGUUUGUGACGUUGAUGAUUAAAUCAUUUUAAUGUUGGCUUAAAUUCAGAGGUUUAUAUGUUAUGCAUUGUUUACUAUUUUMAUUUCUUAAACAAUGUAAUUGUUGGAGUUCAGGUGUGAUGUGAUUUGAUGGGUGACUAGGUACAUUGUCAAAUAAAUACACUUAUUCAUAAUGGA